UACGUAGGCAGCGAGCGUUGUUCGGAGUUACUGGGCGUAAAGCGUGCGUAGGCGGUUUUGUAAGUUUGGUGUGAAAUCUCCCGGCUCAACUGGGAGGGUGCGCCGAAAACUGCAAGGCUGGAGUGUGGGAGAGGUAGGCGGAAUUCCGCGUGUAGCAGUGAAAUGCGUAGAGAUGCGGAGGAACACCGAUGGCGAAGGCAGCCCCCUGGGCUGACACUGACGCUCAGGCACGAAAGCGUGGGGAGCAAACAGG
rnacentral:rRNA from 1 species